UUGCUAGACGACUUAUCUAGUGCUUGGCCGUUAGUGCCCGCCUAGACGCCUACGCAACCUCUGGGUCCGUCUCGGAGUACGGCCGAACUUCGUCACGGGUAGCUUAGUUGGGUGGCCCCCCUAGACUUUCUUGUUGAACUGGGAACGGUCUUGUUGUGAGACAUCGCCUGUAAGAAGCGGGUCGAGCAUGCGUAUGGUUACAUUUGGGCAACCCCUGCAGGGUGUACAUCUUAUCGAUAAGCCGUGUCCGCGGUUAUGGACGACUUGGAAUUGUAUAGCUUGAUCAUAGAACAACUUACACCGUUAUCUUGUUGCUAAUAAUCUGAUAAUAACUUGCGUAGUAAUAUAGCCUUACUACAACCGUUACCCAAUAAAACUUGUCCACCGUUGAGUGCCUUUUACAUUGCCUCUUCGCAAUUGUUGGAGGGGAUAUGUGUAAUCGGCUGGGUUAUGUUUGUGUAGUAUUUUAUAUGUUACCUUAUGCGCUCUCUCACCUUCUCUGAUUAGACGAAUGUUGUAGAGUGUCUCUAUAGGUUUUUAGUGCUUGCGCUGCCGCUUAACUCCACCAUAUUGCCUAUGACGUUCCUCUUGCGUCCUCUAAGUCCCCUGCGUGCCUCAAGUACAAAGGACGACUGGUUGACGAAUGCUUAUACGUCUUGAAGUCUUGUUAAGUACGAACCCGUACUUAUUGCUGCUUCUACGGGAUAUAACCGGGCAGGUAUGAAGAUAUGUUCGAUGAAGAUGACGUUAGCAAGGUUACCCUUCCGGCUUGGCCUGUGCAGGGUUAUGGACGCCACUGGUUAUCUUCAGGACUCUUAGUCCAAUUUGUAUCUUGUCCGUACUCGGACGUAUUCGAUCUUCUGUAUGAUUUGGAUCUUUGUAUUGUAUAUUUGUAUCUUGACUCGUUGGAGUCGUUGUUGUAAUAUAUGUAUCUUGUGGGCUC